AUUGAACGCUGGCGGCAGGCUUAACACAUGCAAGUCGAGCGGGGUGAUGGUGCUUGCACUAUCACUUAGCGGCGGACGGGUGAGUAAUGCUUAGGAAUCUGCCUAUUAGUGGGGGACAACAUCUCGAAAGGGAUGCUAAUACCGCAUACGUCCUACGGGAGAAAGCAGGGGAUCACUUGUGACCUUGCGCUAAUAGAUGAGCCUAAGGCGGAUUAGCUAGUUGGUGGGGUAAAGGCCUACCAAGGCGACGAUCUGUAGCGGGUCUGAGAGGAUGAUCCGCCACACUGGGACUGAGACACGGCCCAGACUCCUACGGGAGGCAGCGGUGGGGAAUAUUGGACAAUGGGGGGAACCCUGAUCCAGCCAUGCCGCGUGUGUGAAGAAGGCCUUAUGGUUGUAAAGCACUUUAAGCGAGGAGGAGGCUCUUUUGGUUAAUACCCAAGAUGAGUGGACGUUACUCGCAGAAUAAGCACCGGCUAACUCUGUGCCAGCAGCCGCCGUAA
rnacentral:rRNA from 1 species